rnacentral:rRNA from 1 species
AUUGAACGCUGGCGGCAUGCCUUACACAUGCAAGUCGAACGGCAGCACGGGAGCUUGCUCCUGGUGGCGAGUGGCGAACGGGUGAGUAAUACAUCGGAACGUACCCUGAAGUGGGGGAUAACGUAGCGAAAGUUACGCUAAUACCGCAUAUUCUGUGAGCAGGAAAGAGGGGGAUCGCAAGACCUUGCGCUGAUUGAGCGGCCGAUGUCAGAUUAGCUAGUUGGUGAGGUAAAGGCUCACCAAGGCGACGAUCUGUAGCGGGUCUGAGAGGAUGAUCCGCCACACUGGAACUGAGACACGGUCCAGACUCCUACGGGAGGCAGCAGUGGGGAAUUUUGGACAAUGGGGGGCAACCCUGAUCCAGCCAUGCCGCGUGAGUGAAGAAGGCCUCGGGUUGUAAG